CUUUUCUUGAAUUUUAAUAUGAGAUAUGACCUGCCCACUGAUAAAUUUGAAGGGCCGCGGUAUUUUGACCGUGCAAAGGUAGCAUAAUCAUUAGUCUUUUAAUUGUGGACUGGAAUGAAUGGUUGGACGAGGAAUAUACUGUUUCUUAUUAUUUUAUUGAAUUUAAUUUUUAAGUUAAAAAGCUUAAAUUUAUUUAUAGGACGAGAAGACCCUAUAGAGUUUAUAUACAUUAUUCUAUUUAUUUUGUUUGUUUAUUUUAUUUAGUAUUUAAUAUAUUUUAUUGGGGUGAUUGGAAGAAUUAAUUAACUCUUUUUGUUUAGAUAUACAUUAAUUUAUGAAUACGUGAUCCAAUUUUGUUGAUUAUAAGAUUAAA
rnacentral:rRNA from 1 species